GUCGAUUCCAUCGGCAUUAACAUUCGAUUUCGUAGACCGAAAUCGGUCUCGAUGUCGGCCGAUCAUGUCGGUGUCUUUUAAAUAGGUCGAUUUCGGCUUCGACGUCUGCCGAUAACGUCGGUAUGUCAAUUUUUUGGUGCAAAAGUGAAAAUAUCAGGAUCUUGAUCCUUGCCGUGUGUGAUGGUUUUAGAUUUAUGGUGGAAACCUCGUGCUGCGAAAUCAUCGACCAGCACUGAGUGUUCUGGGCAGGAGGGGCACCCAUGUGGUGAGGAAGUUGUUCUUGUGAUCAUUGGUUCCGGCCCCGGAGGCUGGCUGUUAUUAAAGCUGCCCAGUUGGGGAUGAGGACCGCAAUCAUUGAGAAGAACGACACAUGUGGCGGCACCUGCCUCAAUGUGUGAUGUAUCCCAUCGAAACCUCUCCUCAAUAAUACCCAUGGACAUUGCACAGCUCAUCAAGAAGAGGUGCAUCUCAUUAAGGGAGCAGAAAUCACCCCAU